CUACGGGGGGCAGCAGCGGAACUUUUACAAUGCACGAAAGUGUGAUAAAGCGAGCCAAAGUGUUUUUCGUUUAGAAAAACUUUUGUUCACUGUAAAAAUGUGGACGAAUAAGGACUGGGAAAGACCGGUGCCAGCCGCCGCGGUAAUACCGGCAGUUCAAGUUGCAUCCAUUUUUAUUGGGUCUAAAACAUCCGUAGCUUGCCAUUUAAGUUUCUUGUGAAAUCUCACGUCUCAAGCGUGAUGAAGUGCAGGAAAUACUGGGUGGCUAGAGAUCGGUAGACGUAAGGAGUACGCCGGAGGUAGUGGUAAACUACGUUAAUCUUCGGUGGACUAACAAUCAGCGAAGGCACCUUACGAGGACGAAUCUGACAGUGAGGGAUGAAGGCCAGGGGCGCAAAACGGAUUAGAUACCCUGGUAGUC
rnacentral:rRNA from 1 species